rnacentral:lncRNA from 1 species
AUGGACAGAGAGGGAGAGAGAGAGGGAGACAGGGAGGCUACAUGGACAGAGAGGGAGAGAGAGAGGGAGAGACAGAGACAGGGAGGCUACAUGGACAGAGAGGGAGAGAGAGAGGGAGGCUACAUGGACAGAGAGGGAGAGAGAGAGGGAGAGAGAGGGAGGCUACAUGGACAGAGAGGGAGAGAGAGAGGGAGAGAGAGGGAGGCUACAUGGACAGAGAGGGAGAGAGAGAGGGAGGGAGGCUACAUGGACAGAGAGGGAGAGAGGGAGAGGGAGAGACAGGGAGGCUACAUGGACAGUGAGGGAGAGAGAGAGAGAGGGAGAGAGAGACAGGGAGAGACAGGGAGAGAGAGAGACAGGCAGGCUACAUGGGCAGUGAGGGAGAGAGAGAGAGAGAGAGAGAGACAGGGAGAAAGAGAGAGAGAGAGAGAGAGAGAGAGGGAGAAAGAGAGGGAGAGAGAGACAGGGAGAAAGAGCAGGAGAGGGAGGGAGAGAGAGAGAGAGAGAGAGAGAGGGAGGGAGAGAGAGGGAGAGACAGGGAGAGCGAGAGAGAGAGAGAGACAGGGAGGCUACAUGGGCAGUGAGGGAGAGAGAGGGGGAGAGAGAGAGAGACAGGGAGAGAGAGAGAGAGAGAGAGAGAGAGAGAGAGAGAGACAGGGAGGCUACAUGGGCAGUGAGGGAGAGAGAGAGACAGGGAGAGAGAGAGAGACAGGGAGAGAGAGAGAGACAGGGAGAGAGAGAGAGAGAGAGACAGGGAGAGAGAGAGACAGGGAGAGAGAGAGAGACAGGGAGAGAGAGAGAGACAGGGAGAGAGAGAGAGAGAGACAGGGAGAGAGAGACAGGGAGGCUACAUGGGCAGUGAGGGAGAGAGCGACAGGGAGAAAGAGAGGAGGGAGAGACAGGGAGAGUGAGAGCGAGAGAGACAGGGAGAGAGAGAGAGAGAGAGAGAGAGAGAGAGAGAGAGAGAGGGAGACAGGGAGACUACAUGGGCAGAGAGGGAGAGAUAUAAAUUGUUGA